rnacentral:lncRNA from 1 species
UUUCAAAAUUCUAUUGAAGUUAAGUAUUUUCUGUACUUCAGAGACUUUUAAUUUCUUAAUUUCAAUUUCUAUUUAUUUAUUUAUUUAUUUAUUAUUUUCUUAAUUCAGUUUAUUUGUCUCCCUCUCAGGAUGAUUCUGAAUGGGAAGUUCAAACACCUUCAGAGGUCACAGCUGAUGCAAAUAUCAAGUACAGUGUCAGCUCCUCUGCAGGGCAGCAUGAAUGUUCAGAGACUGGCCUCCGCUGGCGGUCUGACAGUGAUGUCAGUUUGGAGUAUCAGUUUGUUGACUGGGAAUCAUUACAUGAAGAUAUCAUGAAGAACUACAAACCAUGUGGAACUUUGAUGGACAUCACUGUAACCUCUGGUACUCUGGAGGAAAUUCAUCUACCUCACUUCAUCUGUGUAGAUUCUGUAUCUUCAUCAGAUGAUGCAGUGAAAGCUCUUCAUGUAAACGGCAGUGAAGCUUCAUUGGAGAGAUGUGAACUAACCAGAUUCCACGCCAAGCUUCUCAAUCCCACCUUCUCACUCUUAGGAGUUAUUGCACAUUUGCAUCAGUACUUCACCAUGAAAUUUCACUGUGAAACUUUGAUUUAUCGCAACAAAAUUGCUGCCCUUAACCUUCAUGUGUACCUGAUUUUACAGGAUGAAAAACUUAAGAAGGUAAAAUCUAAUGAUAAACUUUAUGAGAGGCUAUGUAACUGACAUUUAUUUACUUACAACUGUAGAAAAUAAUCAUCCAUUUAUUGGAUGAUUUUAUCUGAAGUAACAAUAGAUUCCAAUAACCAAACUGUUCUUUAUAAUUCCAAAGUACUUUUGUAAACCAAUACAAUAACUUUCUUAAAAAAUAAAAAAAAAAUAAUAUGAAAUGUGUGUAAACCUCUUUGAUUAUAAGUAAUAUACACCACUCAAAAGGUUUUAGUAUUUGAGAUUUGAAAGAUGGCUUCAGAGGACUUGGAAUAUAACGAUUUAUAUGGACAAUAUGAGUAGAUUUAUCAUUUUGCAUUUGCAGAAAGAAUAACACUACCUCUGUAAGGGUCUUGCUACAUGUAUGAAAUCAGUCCAAUGGCAUGGUGUGAUGUCACUGUGUAGCAUGUGACAUUGUGACCAGGAAGCUAUAGCAUAACUGAACUAAAUAAUGUCAGCUUCUGAUUGGCUGAAGCAAGUUGAUCACAAGCUUGCAGGAAGUAUGGCAGGGUGUCGUAGCAUCUCAAUCCUUCUCAGGGAACCA